UGCGCAGGCGGAACUUUAAGUCAGUGGUGAAAUCUUGCCGCUUAACGGUAAAAUUGCCAUUGAUACUGAAGUUCUUGAAUAUGGUUGAGGUAGGCGGAAUGUGUUGUGUAGCGGUGAAAUGCAUAGAUAUGACACAGAACGCCAAUUGCGAAGGCAGCUUACUAAGCCAUUAUUGACGCUGAGGCACGAAAGCGUGGGGAGCGAACAGGAUUAGAUACCCUGGUAGUCC
rnacentral:rRNA from 1 species